AAUAAAAAACUUAAAAUAGUAGCAUAAAAUAAUAUAAAAAAAUUUAAAGAAAAAAGAAAAAACAGAGGAGAGGAGAGAUUAGAGAUGAUAAAAAUGAAAGAACAUAAGAGACGCGAGAUUAAAGAAGAAAGAUGCGAUAAAACCGUAAUUGGAAGAGAAAACAAUAACAUAAAACUGACAAUAUGAAAAAGAAAGAACAUAAUAGAGGAGAUAUUGGAGUAGUAGAGGUGAGACUUACAUGGAAAAUAAGAUGAGAAGAAUGUGUGAUACUACUAUAAGAGAUUUGAGAAGUUUGAAACUAAAACCCUAAGUGUGAGUAAGAGAAUAUUUGUAAGGUUAAAGCAUAAUAAGUUUGGGUUUUGGGUUGGAUGUGGGAUAAGUGAAGUUUGAGUUGUAACAUAAUGCAGUUUGCUUUGGUUUAGUU
rnacentral:lncRNA from 1 species